rnacentral:rRNA from 1 species
AACGGAGCGGAGAUGCUCUGGUGGCCUUCGGGAGCUGUGAGACAGGUGCUGCAUGGCUGUCGUCAGCUCGUGUUGUGAAAUGUUGGGUUAAGUCCCGNAACGAGCGCAACCCUUAUCCUUUGUUGCCAUCGAUUUGGUCGGGAACUCAAAGGAGACUGCCGGUGAUAAACCGGAGGAAGGUGGGGAUGACGUCAAGUCAUCAUGGCCCUUACGGCCAGGGCUACACACGUGCUACAAUGGCGCAUACAAAGAGAAGCGACCUCGCGAGAGCAAGCGGACCUCAUAAAGUGCGUCGUAGUCCGGAUCGGAGUCUGCAACUCGACUCCGUGAAGUCGGAAUCGCUAGUAAUCGUGGAUCAGAAUGCCACGGUGAAUACGUUCCCGGGCCUUGUACACACCGCCCGUCACACCAUGGGAGUGGGUUGCAAAAGAAGUAGGUAGCUUAACCUUCGGGAGGGCGCUUACCACUUUGUGAUUCAUGACUGGGGUGAAGUCGUAACAAGGUAGGCGUAGCGAG